rnacentral:snRNA from 1 species
AUAUUUAACCUGGCAGGGGUGAUUCCAUGGGAGAGGUUUAUCCAUUGCUCUCUGGGUGGCCUAACCUCUGUGAUUUCCCCAAAUGCGGGAAACUCUGACUGCAUAAUUUGUGAUAGUGGGAGACUGCAUGGUCUAGCUCUCCCC